GACGAACGCUGGCGGCGUGCCUAAUACAUGCAAGUAGAACGCUGAAGGAGGAGCUUGCUUCUCUGGAUGAGUUGCGAACGGGUGAGUAACGCGUAGGUAACCUGCCUGGUAGCGGGGGAUAACUAUUGGAAACGAUAGCUAAUACCGCAUAAUAGUAGAUGUUGCAUGACAUUUGCUUAAAAGGUGCAAUUGCAUCACUACCAGAUGGACCUGCGUUGUAUUAGCUAGUUGGUGGGGUAACGGCUCACCAAGGCGACGAUACAUAGCCGACCUGAGAGGGGGAUCGGCCACAAUGGGACUGAGACACGGCCCAGACUCCUACGGGAGGCAGCAGUAGGGAAUCUUCGGCAAUGGACGGAAGUCUGACCGAGCAACGCCGCGUGAGUGAAGAAGGUUUUCGGAUCGUAAAGCUCUGUUGUAAGAGAAGAACGAGUGUGAGAGUGGAAAGUUCACACUGUGACGGUAUCUUACCAGAAAGGGACGGCUAACUACGUG
rnacentral:rRNA from 1 species